UACGGAGGGGGCUAGCGUUGUUCGGAAUUACUGGGCGUAAAGCGCCCGUAGGCGGCCUGUUAAGUCAGAGGUGAAAGCCCGGAGCUCAACUCCGGAACUGCCUUUGAGACUGGGAGGCUUGACCGUCGGAGAGGUGAGUGGAAUUCCGAGUGUAGAGGUGAAAUUCGUAGAUAUUCGGAAGAACACCAGUGGCGAAGGCGGCUCACUGGACGACUGUUGACGCUGAGGUGCGAAAGCGUGGGGAGCAAACAGG
rnacentral:rRNA from 1 species